AUUUAAAUAGCUUAAAUUGAGAGUAUGAUAUUGAAGAUAUCAGGGUAAUAUUUUAUAUUUUUAAAUA
rnacentral:tRNA from 1 species